AGCAGCCGCGGUAAUUCCAGCUCCAAUAGCGUAUAUUAAAGUUGUUGCAGUUAAAAAGCUCGUAGUUGAAUUUCGGGAUUAGUAAGUUGGUCGUGCCUCCGGUAUGUACUGGCUCUACUGGUUCCUCCUUCUUGAAGAACUGUAAUGUCAUUAAUUUGGUGUUGCAGGGAAACAGGACUGUUACUUUGAAAAAUUAGAGUGUUUAAAGCAGGCUAACGUUUGAAUACAUUAGCAUGGAAUAAUGAAAUAGGACGUUUGAUCCUAUUUUGUUGGUUUCUAGGAUUGACGUAAUGAUUAAUAGGGAUAGUUGGGGGCAUUAGUAUUCAAUUGUCAGAGGUGAAAUUCUUGGAUUUAUUGAAGACUAACUACUGCGAAAGCAUUUGCCAAGGAUGUUUUCAUUAAUCAAGAACGAAAGUUAGGGGAUCGAAGACGAUCAGAUACCGUCGUAGU
rnacentral:rRNA from 1 species